rnacentral:rRNA from 1 species
CCUACAGGGGGCUGCAGUGGGGAAUAUUGGACAAUGGGGGCAACCCUGAUCCAGCCAUGCCGCGUGUGUGAAGAAGGCCCUCGGGUUGUAAAGCACUUUCAGUGAGGAAGAACGCCUGGUGGUUAAUACCCAUCAGGAAAGACAUCACUCACAGAAGAAGCACCGGCUAACUCCGUGCCAGCAGCCGCGGUAAUACGGAGGGUGCGAGCGUUAAUCGGAAUUACUGGGCGUAAAGCGCGCGUAGGUGGCUUGAUAAGCCGGUUGUGAAAGCCCCGGGCUCAACCUGGGAACGGCAUCCGGAACUGUCAAGCUAGAGUGCAGGAGAGGAUGGUAGAAUUCCCGGUGUAGCGGUGAAAUGCGUAGAGAUCGGGAGGAAUACCAGUGGCGAAGGCGGCCUUCUGGACUGACACUGACACUGAGGUGCGAAAGCGUGGGUAGCAAACAGGAUUAGAUACCCGAGUAGUC